GACGAACGCUGGCGGCGUGCUUAACACAUGCAAGUCGAACGGAAAGGCCCUGCUUUUGUGGGGUGCUCGAGUGGCGAACGGGUGAGUAACACGUGAGUAACCUGCCCUUGACUUUGGGAUAACUUCAGGAAACUGGGGCUAAUACCGGAUAGGAGCUCCUGCUGCAUGGUGGGGGUUGGAAAGUUUCGGCGGUUGGGGAUGGACUCGCGGCUUAUCAGCUUGUUGGUGGGGUAGUGGCUUACCAAGGCUUUGACGGGUAGCCGGCCUGAGAGGGUGACCGGCCACAUUGGGACUGAGAUACGGCCCAGACUCCUACGGGAGGCAGCAGUGGGGAAUAUUGCACAAGGGCGGAAGCCUGAUGCAGCAACGCCGCGUGCGGGAUGACGGCCUUCGGGUUGUAAACCGCUUUCGCCUGUGACGAAGCGUGAGUGACGGUAAUGGGUAAAGAAGCACCGGCUAACUACGUG
rnacentral:rRNA from 1 species